rnacentral:rRNA from 1 species
CGACGGUUGGUGCUAUGCCAACCGUGGCGUUAACGGAUAACAGAGAAUCUGGGUUCGAUUCUGGAGAGGCCGCAUGAGAAACGGCGACCACUUCCAAGGAAGGCAGCAGGCACGCAAAUUACCCACUUCGGACACCGAGAGGUAGUGACGAACAAUACCGAUGCGGCGCACAUACGUGUCGCCGUAAUCGGAAUGAGUACACUUCAAAUCCUUUAACGAGGAUCCACUGGAGGGCAAGCCUGGUGCCAGCAGCCGCGGUAAUUCCAGCUCCAGCAGCGUAUAUUUAUAUUGCUGCGUUUAAAAAGCUCGUAGUUGAAGCGUCAGACGCGGAAGGGCGGACGGCCGCACUGGUCGCUCUCGCCCGACCGAGCCAGGCGCAGAGGGCGCGCGUCGCUUGCACUUUACCGUGUGAGCGCGCCGCCGCUGCACGUUCACCUUGAAGAAAUUGAACCGCUUAGAGGGGGCGAACAGCUUGUACAGCUCAGCAUGGUAUGAUGGAACAUGGGCUCGUACUCAUUUUGUUGGUUAGAGAGUCGGCGAGCCAAUGAUUAACAGGGACUGCCGGGGGCAUUCGUACUCGGACGGGAGAGGUGAAAUUCAAGGAUCGUCCGAAGACGCCCUACUGCGAAAGCAUUUGCCAAGAAUGUUUUCAUUAAUCAAGAACGAAAGUCAGAGGUGCGAAGGCGAUCAGAUACCGCCGUAGUUCUGACCGUAAACGUUGCCAACUGGCAAUUGGGCGCACUUCUGUCGAAGUUGCCGCCAGCAGUAUUGCCCGGGAAACCAAAGUCAUUGGGUUCCGGGGGGAGUAUGGUUGCAAAGCUGAAACUUAAAGGAAUUGACGGAAGGGCACCACCAGGAGUGGAGCCUGCGGCUUAAUUUGACUCAACACGGGAAACCUCACCCGGCCCGAACACUGUUAUGACAGACAGGUUGAGAGCUCUUUCUCGAUUCAGUGGUUGGUGGUGCAUGGCCGUUCUUAGUUCGUGGAGCGAUCUGUCUGGUUAAUUCCGAUAACGAACGAGACUCUUGCCUGCUAAAUAGACGGCGUCGACUCUUGUCGGCGACCGUUCGCUUCUUAGAGGGACAAGCGGCUUUUAGCCGCGUGAAGCCGAGAGCAAUAACAGGUCAGUGAUGCCCUCAGAUGUUCGGGGCCGCACGCGCGCUACACUGUUUGCAUCAGCGUGUUUCUCCCGCGCCGGCUGGCGCGGGCAACCCGUUGAACCGCAAACGUGCUAGGGAUCGGAGAUUGCAAUUGUUCUCCGUGAACGAGGAAUUCCUUGUACUGGCGAGUCAUCAGCUCGCGGGGAAUCUGUCCCUGCCCUUUGUACACACCGCCCGUCGCUACUACCGAUUGAGUGGUUUAGUGAGGCUCACGGACUGCG